AUUGAACGCUGGCGGCAGGCCUAACACAUGCAAGUCGAACGAGUGGCGGACGGGUGAGUAAUGUCUGGGAAACUGCCUGAUGGAGGGGGAUAACUACUGGAAAAGGUAGCUAAUACCGCAUACCAUCGGAUGUGCCCAGAUGGGAUUAGCUAGUAGGUGGGGUAAAGGCUCACCUAGGCGCCGAUCCCUAGCUGGUCUGAGAGGAUGACCACCCACACUGUGACGGAGACACGUUCCAGACGCCGACGGGAGGCAGCAUUGGGGAAUAUUGCACCAUGGGCGCAAUCCUGAUGCAGCCAUGCCGCGUGUAUGAAGAAGGCCUUCGGGUUGUAAAGUACUUUCAGCGGGGAGGCGUUACCCGCAGAAGAAGCACCGGCUAACUCCGGGCCAGCAGCCGCGGUAAUUC
rnacentral:rRNA from 1 species